rnacentral:lncRNA from 1 species
GUAGGGAUGAGCACGACAGUGCAGGUGAGCAUGAAGGAUGGACAAUCUUCGGGGAUUUUAGAUUGGGAACACAACAAAACACUAACACUCAGGGAUUUGGGAAUAGUUAGACGCCUGCUAAUAUCGAUGAUUCGUUUUUAGAUCAAAUCAAUGAAUUGUUAAACGAAUUCAAUCAAUGGCACCAGCGUGACCAAGAAGAACAAUAAC